rnacentral:rRNA from 1 species
GACGAGGGGUCCUAGCGUUGUUCGGAAUCACUGGGCGUAAAGCGCAUGUAGGCGGCUUGGUAAGUCAGAUGUGAAAGCCUUGGGCUCAACCUAAGAAGUGCAUUUGAUACUGCUGAGCUUGAAUAUGGGAGAGGGUAGUAGAAUUCCUGGUGUAGUGGUGAAAUACGUAGAUAUCAGGAGGAAUACCGGUGGCGAAGGCGGCUACCUGGCCCAAUAUUGACGCUGAGAUGCGAAAGCGUGGGGAUCAAACAGG